AGUGAACGCUGGCGGUAGGCCUAACACAUGCAAGUCGAACGGCAGCACAGUAAGAGCUUGCUCUUACGGGUGGCGAGUGGCGGACGGGUGAGGAAUACAUCGGAAUCUACUUUUUCGUGGGGGAUAACGUAGGGAAACUUACGCUAAUACCGCAUACGACCUACGGGUGAAAGCAGGGGAUCUUCGGACCUUGCGCGAUUGAAUGAGCCGAUGUCGGAUUAGCUAGUUGGCGGGGUAAAGGCCCACCAAGGCGACGAUCCGUAGCUGGUCUGAGAGGAUGAUCAGCCACACUGGAACUGAGAAACGGUCCAGACUCCUAAGGGAGGCAGCAGUGGGGAAUAUUGGACAAUGGGCGCAAGCCUGAUCCAGCCAUACCGCGUGGGUGAAGAAGGCCUUCGGGUUGUAAAGCCCUUUUGUUGGGAAAGAAAAGCAGCAGGUUAAUACCCAGCUGUUCUGACGGUACCAAAAGAAUAAGCACCGGCUAACUUCGUG
rnacentral:rRNA from 1 species